rnacentral:rRNA from 1 species
UACGAAGGGUGCAAACGUUGCUCGGAAUCAUUGGGCGUAAAGCGCACGUAGGCGGCUUGCCAAGUCGGACGUGAAAUCCCUCAGCUCAACUGAGGACGUGCAUCCGAAACUGGCGAGCUUGAGUGCUGAAGAGGAUCGCGGAAUUCCCGGUGUAGAGGUGAAAUUCGUAGAUAUCGGGAGGAACACCAGUGGCGAAGGCGGCUCACUGGCCCGGUACUGACGCUGAGGUGCGAAAGCGUGGGGAGCAAACAGG